UUUGCUUAUGCAUGGCUUUUCUAGUGAUUCUUGGUAAUGAUCAUCUAAAUAACAGCGAUGCAAACUCGGCAUUAUGUCUACAUGUCCCAGAUUUGAAUUACCUGGGGACAAGCAAACGUAAGUGAAAUUUCUCUUUACCCAAAUUGGCUCUCUUAAAUCUAUUUGCUGUAUAUGUACAUGUGAAUCAGGUCUUAUUGACUCUUCUUUCAGAUGCCCAGACAGAAAGUAGUUAAAAAAAAUGAAAAAAGUUAGAGGUUUACAUGACUUGUUAGGGAAUAAUUUAAGCGAAGAGCCAUUUCCCGAGUCCUCUACGUUCACUAAGAUCAUAUGUAGGACACCGCCUGAUUUGCCUUUAAGAAUAUAUUGAUGAUCUUUUUGGCUGAGGCUGUAGAAGUUCUUGAAUUUCUUGUCAAUUUCUAUCAUAUGACACACGUCUUCAAACUUCCUAAGCUAGAAGGUUCCACAUCAUGCAUGCAGAGGAGGUAUUGAUAUGGUCCCAGUAUGUGUAUAGAAAUAUAAGUCAAUUUGUUUGGGAAAUUCCUGAUACACACUUUCUUCUUAUUCCGAGAUCACCAUUUUCUCUCUUUACUGCUAUGUGCUCAUGCCACCUUAUUAAUGUGUUUAGGAUCAACUGCUUUAAGAAAAGGCCCUGUGAAAAACUUUUCAAAGGAAACAUAGCAUCUUUUUCUACUGAGCUUUACAUUAUGCUGAACUUCGCACCUCCAUCAUCAGGAUUGAUUCCUUGGAAGCCUGUGUUUUCUUAAUCUGGUCUUCCUCUUACAGUUCUGGAGUAUCUUCUACUUUAGCUGCUUAAGUUUUUUUAUGGCAGGCGAUGGCACAAGUUGGUGGUUUGGUCAUGCUGCAACUAGAAGUUGGAGGCUCUCGUGAGAAUUUAUUCUUUGCUGGAACUGACAAGGUGAGAUUCUGGAAACCAGUGAUUGCCGGCGACACCGUAGUUAUGAGAAUGACACUUAUCCAGCUGCAGAAACGCUUUGGAAUAGCAAAGAUGGAGGGGAAAGCUUAUGUUGGAGGUGUGGUAGUUUGCGAUGGUGAGUUUUUGAUGGCUACUGAUAGUGAAUAAUCUCUGCUAGUUUUACUAUUUGCUGCCAGUCACCAGUCGAUUUUUCUUGGUUUCUUUUUUCCACAGAAAUCUCAUCAAUUCUUUCUAUGAUUUUCAUCCGAAAUUGGUCAAAAUCUAUCCAUGGCAGUUACAAGCAUGUGAUCCCUCUGUUUUCUGUGGUUGUUUGGGCACUUGAAAAGCCUUCAAGUUCUUUUUCAAGGGCCCCUACUUCGAAGUGGUAUGAGUUAAAGUUUCUGGUUCAUAAGCUCGUUCUCCGGUUUAUCAUUACUGGCAUAUUGCACUUAUUUUAUCUUUUUUCUUCUCUUUUUUGCCCACAGAUCUGAGAAGGGAACGAAAUAGAAAAGAGAGUGAUGAGAUAUAAGCAUGGAUUUUAUUAUGUCAGUUUCAUACUUCUGUGAGUUGUGCUCGGAGAAAUUAGACUCUAUCGGCAGGAGAAAUUAGAUCUGUAUCUACAUUAAU